CCUGGCUCAGGAUGAACGCUAGCGGCAGGCUUAACACAUGCAAGGCGAACGGUAACAUUCCCGCUUGCGGGAGAUGGCGCGACCGGCGCACGGGUGAGUAACGCGUAUGCAACCUACCUCAAACAGGGGGAUAGCUCAGGGAAACCUGGAUUAAUACCCCAUAAUAUUCAGAUUUGGCAUCAGAUUUAAAUUAAAACUCCGGUGGUUUGAGAUGGGCAUGCGUGACAUUAGCUAGUUGGUAAGGUAAAGGCUUACCAAGGCAACGAUGUCUAGGGGUUCUGAGAGGAUGAUCCCCCACACUGGUACUGAGACACGGACCAGACUCCUACGGGAGGCAGCAGUGAGGAAUAUUGGUCAAUGGGCGCAAGCCUGAACCAGCCAUCCCGCGUGUAGGAAGACUGCCCUAUGGGUUGUAAACUACUUUUAUAAAGGAAGAAACCCUUCUACGUGUAGAAGGCUGACUGUACUUUAAGAAUAAGCACCGGCUAACUCCGUGCCAGCAGCCGCGGUAAUACGGAGGGUGCAAGCGUUAUCCGGAUUUAUUGGGUUUAAAGGGUGCGUAGGCGGAUUAAUAAGUCAGUGGUGAAAUCCUGCAGCUUAACUGUAGAACUGCCAUUGAUACUGUUGAUCUUGAGUAUAGUUGAGGUAGGCGGAAUGUGUAAUGUAGCGGUGAAAUGCUUAGAUAUUACACAGAACACCGAUUGCGUAGGCAGCUUACUAAGCUAUAACUGACGCUGAUGCACGAAAGCGUGGGGAGCGAACAGGAUUAGAUACCCUGGUAGUCCACGCCGUAAACGAUGAUCACUCGUUGUUGGCGAUACACAGUCAGCGACUGAGCGAAAGCAUUAAGUGAUCCACCUGGGGAGUACGAUCGCAAGAUUGAAACUCAAAGGAAUUGACGGGGGCCCGCACAAGCGGAGGAACAUGUGGUUUAAUUCGAUGAUACGCGAGGAACCUUACCUGGGCUUAAAUGUAGAGUCCCGAAGUGGGAAACAAGUAUUUCUUCGGACAAUUUACAAGGUGCUGCAUGGCUGUCGUCAGCUCGUGCCGUGAGGUGUCAGGUUAAGUCCUAUAACGAGCGCAACCCUUAUCUUUAGUUGCCAGCGAGUAAUGUCGGGGACUCUAAGGAAACUGCCGGUGCAAACCGUGAGGAAGGUGGGGACGACGUCAAAUCAUCACGGCCCUUACGUCUUGGGCUACACACGUGCUACAAUGGUAGGUACAGAGGGCAGCUACUUGGCGACAGGAUGCGAAUCUCAAAAACCUAUCUCAGUUCGGAUUGGAGUCUGCAACUCGACUCUAUGAAGCUGGAAUCGCUAGUAAUCGCAUAUCAGCCAUGAUGCGGUGAAUACGUUCCCGGGCCUUGUACACACCGCCCGUCAAACAAUGGAAGCUGGGAGUACCUGAAGUUGGUGACCGUAAAAGGAGCUACCUAGGGUAAAACUGGUAACUGGGGCUAAGUCGUAACA
rnacentral:rRNA from 1 species